rnacentral:rRNA from 1 species
AGAGUUUGAUUCUGGCUCAGGAUGAACGCUGGCGGCGUGCCUAACACAUGCAAGUCGAACGAAGCGUUUACAUGGAUUUCCUUCGGGGAUGAAGGGUUUAUGACUGAGUGGCGGACGGGUGAGUAACGCGUGGGCAACCUGCCCCGUACCGGGGGACAACAGCCGGAAACGGCUGCUAAUACCGUAUACGUUUUAAGGACCGCAUGGUCCGUAAAACAAAACUCCGGUGGUACGGGAUGGGCCCGCGUCUGAUUAGCUCGUUGGCGGGGUAACGGCCCACCAAGGCGACGAUCAGUAGCCGGCCUGAGAGGGCGGCCGGCCACAUUGGGACUGAGACACGGCCCAGACUCCUGCGGGAGGCAGCAGUGGGGAAUAUUGCACAAUGGGGGAAACCCUGAUGCAGCGACGCCGCGUGAGCGAGGAAGUACCUCGGUAUGUAAAGCUCUGUCAGCAGGGAAGAAAAUGACAGUACCUGACCAAGAAGCCCCGGCUAACUACGUGCCAGCAGCCGCGGUAAUACGUAGGGGGCAAGCGUUAUCCGGAUUCACUGGGCGUAAAGGGAGCGCAGGCGGCACGGCAAGUCUGAUGUGAAAACCCGGGGCUCAACCCCGGGACUGCAUUGGAAACUGCCUGGCUGGAA